AGAGUUUGAUUAUGGCUCAGAUCGAACGCUGGCGGCAGGCCUAACACAUGCAAGUCGAGCGGUAGAGAGAAGCUUGCUUCUCUUGAGAGCGGCGGACGGGUGAGUAAUGCCUAGGAAUCUGCCUGGUAGUGGGGGAUAACGUUCGGAAACGGACGCUAAUACCGCAUACGUCCUACGGGAGAAAGCAGGGGACCUUCGGGCCUUGCGCUAUCAGAUGAGCCUAGGUCGGAUUAGCUAGUUGGUGAGGUAAUGGCUCACCAAGGCGACGAUCCGUAACUGGUCUGAGAGGAUGAUCAGCCACACUGGAACUGAGACACGGUCCAGACUCCUACGGGAGGCAGCAGUGGGGAAUCUUGCGCAAUGGGCGAAAGCCUGACGCAGCGACGCCGCGUGAGUGAUGAAGGCCUUCGGGUUGUAAACUCCUGUCAGAGGGAACGACAGUAGUAGGGUAAAUAGUCCUACUUUCUAGACGGUACCUUCAAAGGAAGCCCCGGCUAAUUCCGUGCCAGCAGCCGCGGUAAU
rnacentral:rRNA from 1 species